rnacentral:lncRNA from 1 species
UAUGCUGAAAGUGUUUUUAUAUUUUUAAUUUCUAAUACCUGUUUAAUGUUUUUUUUUACUUAGGGUGGUCCAGGUUUGCCUGGCAAGCCAGGCCCCUGGGGCCCUGAUGGCGAACAAGGGCCAAAGGGAGAAAUUGGAAUUCCUGGGAAUCCUGGAGUUCCAGGAAAUAAGGGUUUAAAGGGACUAAGAGGCAAUCCCGGAGUAAAAGGCGAUUUGGGCAGGAGAGGGGAUCGUGGACCUCCUGGGGCCAAGGGAGCUGUAGGGAAAAAGGGGGAAAAGGGAGAACAAGGGCCAGAGGGAGA